rnacentral:rRNA from 1 species
AUUGAACGCUGGCGGCAGGCCUAACACAUGCAAGUCGAACGAGUGGCGGACGGGUGAGUAAUGUCUGGGAAACUGCCUGAUGGAGGGGGAUAACUACUGGAAACGGUAGCUAAUACCGCAUACCAUCAGAUGUGCCCAGAUGGGCUUAGCUAGUUGGUGGGGUAACGGCUCACCAAGGCGACGAUCCCUAGCUGGUCUGAGAGGAUGACCAGCACCACUGGAACGGGGACACGGUCCAGAAUCCUACGGGAGGAAGCAGGGGGAAAUAUUGCACAAGGGGCGAAAGCCUUAUGCAGCCAUGCCGCGUGUAUGAAGAAGGCCUUCGGGUUGUAAAGUACUUUCAGCGGGGAGGCGUUACCCGCAGAAGAAGCACCGGCUAACUCCGUGCCAGCCGCCGCGGUAAUUC